rnacentral:rRNA from 2 species
GAAGGCCCAGACAGCCAGGAUGUUGGCUUAGAAGCAGCCAUCAUUUAAAGAAAGCGUAAUAGCUCACUGGUCGAGUCGGCCUGCGCGGAAGAUGUAACGGGGCUAAACCAUGCACCGAAGCUGCGGCAGCGACACUGUGUGUUGUUGGGUAGGGGAGCGUUCUGUAAGCCUGUGAAGGUGUGUCGUGAGGCAUGCUGGAGGUAUCAGAAGUGCGAAUGCUGACAUAAGUAACGAUAAAGCGGGUGAAAAGCCCGCUCGCCGGAAGACCAAGGGUUCCUGUCCAACGUUAAUCGGGGCAGGGUGAGUCGACCCCUAAGGCGAGGCCGAAAGGCGUAGUCGAUGGGAAACGGGUUAAUAUUCCCGUACUUGGUGUUACUGCGAAGGGGGGACGGAGAAGGCUAUGUUGGCCGGGCGACGGUUGUCCCGGUUUAAGCGUGUAGGUGUGUGUUCCAGGUAAAUCCGGUUCACUUUAACACUGAGGCGUGACGACGAGGCACUACGGUGCUGAAGCAACAAAUGCCCUGCUUCCAGGAAAAGCCUCUAAGCAUCAGGUAACAUCAAAUCGUACCCCAAACCGACACAGGUGGUCAGGUAGAGAAUACCAAGGCGCUUGAGAGAACUCGGGUGAAGGAACUAGGCAAAAUGGUGCCGUAACUUCGGGAGAAGGCACGCUGACACGUAGGUGAAGUGAUUUACUCAUGGAGCUGAAGUCAGUCGAAGAUACCAGCUGGCUGCAACUGUUUAUUAAAAACACAGCACUGUGCAAACACGAAAGUGGACGUAUACGGUGUGACGCCUGCCCGGUGCCGGAAGGUUAAUUGAUGGGGUCAGCGCAAGCGAAGCUCCUGAUCGAAGCCCCGGUAAACGGCGGCCGUAACUAUAACGGUCCUAAGGUAGCGAAAUUCCUUGUCGGGUAAGUUCCGACCUGCACGAAUGGCGUAAUGAUGGCCAGGCUGUCUCCACCCGAGACUCAGUGAAAUUGAACUCGCUGUGAAGAUGCAGUGUACCCGCGGCAAGACGGAAAGACCCCGUGAACCUUUACUAUAGCUUGACACUGAACAUUGAGCCUUGAUGUGUAG